UAUCUGUGAUUAAUAAGAGUUUGAUUAUUAGGAGAAAGGUGGGAUAAAAUAAAUAAUAAAUCCAAAAAAAUUGAAACCUGCAAAUAUGGAGAGCCAGCAGUACACACAAAUAAUAAGGACACAAGUCACAGAAGCAUAGAGUUGGAAGAAACCACAAGAAGUCAAACAGCAUUGAUGGCCUUAUGAUAACCAUCUACCUUCUUUCAAUUUAUUAGUGUUUGCUGUGCUUGACUUGCUACCUUCCAAUCUCAUGAGUUGCUUUUCCCCUGCAUUUCUUCCUCCAGUUUUUUUUCAUGACUCAGCAGUUCUAUUUCCCAUGUGCAUGACUAUCAGGUAUGUUGACAUACAUUCACCCCUCUCCCAUCCCCAGACAUAUGCAACCAUGUUCAGGAAGUUGCUUUCCCUAUGGGCGGAGGCACAACUCUUUAAGUAACUCCUACAGCUCUGGUUUAUCUAGUCCUCAAGGCUUUAUAAGCCAGGCAGAGUCCUUAGACACCAAAGCUGUGAGGUUCAGAGAGGAGCUGCUUUCUUCCCAACGGAGCCAAAGCCAGCAUUUUCCCCAAACUCAGGUCUACAUCUUCUUGUGGUGCCUCACCAUGUCUUCAGGUCACUCAGGGCCUGGUGCUUUUGGAGGAUCUGGUGUCCCUCCUGUGCCAAAACCUGACAACCCUUUGGGUCCAGUUCCAGAGAAACCUUGGCCUGAGGGCCCUCCAAAACCUGAAGGCCCUCAACCAUUAGGACCUCUGGUGCCUGGAAAACCUUGGCCAAAAGGCCCACCUGUGUCUCCAGAUCCUAAACAACCAAGAUCUCCUCAACCACCAAAUCCUUUAGGACCUACCAAUCCGGGACCAUUUCCUGGGCCUUCCAGUCCACCCAAGCCACCCCUGCCUGAUGAUCCUUAUCCACCUUUCCCUCUAGUACCUGUUGCCCCGUGGCCACCAUUGCCUGAAUGGGACGAUUCAGGGAAACCUCCCAAAGACUCUUCUGAUGACAUUUAACUUGUCUUUUAGCCUUGUUCUCCUAAAACAUUUCUGGCUGAAAGGGCAGUACCAUGUCUUUCACCACACACCUAUAUGUUUAUUUGAUGUUGGCAAAGUUUACGUCAAAGUAAGGAACAAGUGCUUGCUGUAAAUCUUAUGUGACUUGCUCUUGACAAUGGAAAGCCAACUGAAAAAGAAGAGGCUGUGUUCCUACCAUGUUUAUUAUUGAUUAAGGAAGCAGUUUCAAAACUAAUCAAAGCUGAUUCAAUUGUCUUUUGUUUUUGUUUUCUCUCUCUCAGUUUCCUUUUAUCUUAUCUAUAUGAAUCAUAACAUAUGAAAGUUGACCUUAAGAACAAGCUUCCAAUAAAACAUUUAGAUUAGAAAUACUCUGUUUUGAUGAAACCUCCUCAGCAUAUUUAUUUGCUUUAUUAAAAGAGUUUAUUUUCUUUCAUCUAAUUAUUUAGGGAUACUGUUAUCAAAGAUGUUAACUAAACCCAGGUACAAUAGAGUCUUACUUAUCCAAGCUAAAUGGGCUGGCAGAACCUUGGAUAAGUGAAUAUCUUGGAUAAUAAGGAAAGAUUAAGGAAAAGCCUAUUAAACAUCAAAUUAGGUUAUGAUUUUACAAAUUAAGCACCAAAUCAUCAUGUUAUACAACAAAUUUGACAGAAAAAGUAGUUCAAUAUGCAGUAAUGUUAUCUUGUAAUUAUUGUAUUUACGAAUUUAGCACCAAAAUAUCAUGAUAUAUUGAAAACAUUGACUACAAAAAUGGCUUGGAUAAUCCAGAAACUUGGAUAAGUUUGCAUUUUUCUGGCCCACUACCCCUUUUAGGAGCCAACUCAGGUUUUUAUUAAAGUGUGCUUAUUGUU